rnacentral:lncRNA from 1 species
AGUGCAAGCACAAAUGAUGUAACAUGAUUGCCAUAUAUAAUUGCUCCUUUGCAGUAUUUGAUAUUUAAAUAUAAAUAAAAAUAUUAAUAUGUACUCAAAUUCCUAUUACUGAUUGACAAUUUUAUUAGAAAAUUGUGAAGAUUUAGUAAAUUUUAGUGGCAUAGUUAUCAAGCAAUGAUUACUUGUAAAAAACAAAGAAUGAAGUAAGCAACAAUGGUAAAGAAUGAUACUUGGUCAGUUAUUAAAGGAAAUGAGGGAAUGUAAACAAAAAAUCAGCUGAUUUGGUAAUCUAGCAUAUGUGAGGGACAGGAAUCCAGGUUGGAUGUGGUGUGUCUUUCCUCACUUUCAGAUUUUGGUUUUUUUUAUAUAAGGGGAAAAACGAAUUUGGAGGGAAGAGAGAGACGCACCAAAAAGGUGACACAUGAUAAUAUAUCGGAUAGCACAGCCAUGGACUCUUGUCCCCAAUAUAAUUAAAUCAUAUUUAACUAUAAACACGGGUGUCGGGUUAGGAUAAAUGUUCCAAAUAAUGAUCUUGUUUUUCUUCAAUGGAGGCAUAAGAUUAAGUCACCGGGGACGAUAUAAAAGUUGGCGUAAGAACUUUAAUGGUGAGUCAGUCGGUCGAAAGUAUACGGUGAAGUUCGUGCAUCCUACUCUUCUGCUCAUCACCGCUGUAUCUGCAUCGUUCGUCUCUGUUAUCUUCCUCUAUGUCAGUUAUACUCAUCGCAGAAGAAAAAGGGAAAUCAACGCCGACCAUCAAACUUUAUUGACUCGAAUCUGAUUGAUCUCUUCUCAGCGCCGACACAGUCCUAUGCCAGUGACUUUGGAUUCACACCGAACUUUCUCUUUGGAUUAUUCUGAUCUGAAUGGUAUUCUCCCAAGAAAUUGUCGGAGUUUUUUGUAAAAUUGGAAGAUAGAUUGUAAAGAACCUCUCUGAGAACACUAAAGGAAGCUAUUGAUUCAUUAAACCAUAGUCUUCUGUGCAUGUCUAGCCUCAUUACCUGUUCAUACCCGCAGCAUGCCAUUGUCCGCUGUUAGGCCUAACCCCUGUACUUUUAGUCCAUUGGCCCAUGAGCCCCACAACUAUGUCUAAUUAUCACAGAUAUUAACUUUAAUAUCUCAUAUAAGGAAUUUCACUUUUAUCAAUAUAUGUAUUUGUGUCAAUCUAACUCUCUCUACCAUAUAGCAUAUAACUGUCCUA